GCGUUGGUAGCUCAGUGGUAGAGCAACCGGCUGCAGUCCGGUAGGUCAUGCGUUCGAUCCGCAUUCAGCGCU
rnacentral:tRNA from 2 species